CCACAAGUACAUGGUACUUUACAGAGAAUACACUUCUUUGUAUCAUCUCAGUUUUAGAGAAAAAACUUGCAGAGUCAGGUAAGUAUCCAGUGCAAGAUUUUCAAUAAUGUUGGAGCAUUAUAAAUCUGCUCUGCUAACAGGAUAAUUUUUGCAAUUUAAAUUUUGCACAAAUUUUUAUUUCAAAGAAUAUGAAAUCCAUCUAUAAUGUAAAAACCUCACUGUAACAAAGGCAUUCAUAUUUAUUUUCACAUACUCACAAAAAGUUGCAUUAUUAAAUCAUUUAUUUUUCCCC
rnacentral:lncRNA from 1 species